rnacentral:misc_RNA from 1 species
ACACCUCAACUCUCAUGGUUUGCCAUGAUGAGCUUGGAUUUUGGGGGUUUUGCUGGCCUGUGGUCAGCUCCUCUCAAAUGGAUCAGCUUACCAGUAUUUGGUGGCGUCACAGGUGUGAUAACUAUCUACGCUUGUGGUUUCCACCAUGCAACCUUCAGUGAUGAAGGUGCGCUGGAGCUCACAAAUGUCCCUCCUCAGUGAGGACAGCUUCUGAAC